UAUUGAAUUAAGAACUAGGUUAAGAACACAAGAUUAAAAAGACUUCUCUCUUAUUCCUUUAGAAACUUACUCAAAACUAAAGGUCUUACAAAUCUCUUAAUCUCUCUUAUGGAAUACCACAACCUAGGCAUCUCAUAUAUAUAGCAAAACCCUUUUCCUUUUCCUAACACACUUAGGAAUUGGAUAAUUUCCUUUAUUCUAGAUAACUCCUAGAAUAUUACAUAUUUAUCUUUAGCUUAUUUCUCAAGCUUUCUUCAAACUUAUCUCAACAUUUUCCCUCCUAAGUUUGAACCCUUCUUCCGAAACAUCUUGAACACCAAUGAGCUCUCUCAUCUCCUUGAAUCUAAUCCUACCAAGCGCCUUAGUUAGGAUAUCAGCUCGUUGCUCCUCUCCGGCAACAUGCUCAACUUCAAUUUGUUCAUUCUCGACACAUUCUCUUAUAAAAUGAUAUCUCUUGUUGAUGUGUUUACUUCUUCCGUGGAACACCGGGUUCUUUGCAAGUGCAAUGGCUGAUUUGUUGUCAAUAAGAAGCGUCACCUUCUCACAUGAGCCUCCAGUGACUUCUACGAGCAAUUCUUGAAGCCAAAGUGCCUGUUUAGAAGCUUCCGUUGCGGCCAUGAAUUCUGCCUCGCACGAUGAUAACGCCACCGUGUCUUGUUUCUUUGUACACCAAGUAAUUGGACAGUUCUCAAGGUAGAACACAUGUCCUGUUGUGCUCCUCCCAUCAUCUUCAUCUAUAUUGUGGCUGCUAUCGCUAUAGCCCACAAGCUUUGUCUUCUCUCCACGAGUAAAGAACAAACCAAGAGCAAGAGUUCCUCGCAGGUACCUAAGUAUUUGUUUGAGUGCAGCUCCGUGAGACUCCUUAGGUUGUUGCAUGUACCUACUUAACACACCAACACAAUAAGAUAGAUCGGGUCUUGUGUGAAGCAAAUAACGUAGACACCCUAUGAUUCUUCUAUACUCCUUCUCAUCGAUAUUCUCCUCUUGUGGUGCCUUAGAUAACUUUAAACCCGAGUCCAUUGGUACCUUCACCGCAUUGCAGUUAUUCAUUCUGGUUUCUUCUAGAAUCUUGGAUGCAUACCUUUCUUGCUUCAACACAAUUCCAUUCUCAAGUUGCAGUACUUCAAUACCAAGAUAAUAGGUUAAUUUCCCAAGGUCGCUCAUUUCAAACUUUGUUGCCAUCCCUUUCUUGAACUCCAAGAUUGCAUCUAGACUUGAACCCGUAACUAGUAGGUCGUCUACAUAAACGGCCACCAACAGAAGAUGCUCAUUCUCUUGCUUACGGUAUAGAGAAGCUUCUUUGGAACACUUCGUGAAGCUCAAUUCCUUAAGAAUUUUAUUAAGCUUGUUAUUCCAUGCCCUCGGGGCUUGCUUUAGACCGUAAAGUGCUUUAUGUAGUUUGUACACCUUGUCUUCACUUCCCUUGACAACAAAUCCCUCAGGUUGUGUCACAUACACCUCUUCUUGCAAUUCUCCAUGAAGGAAUGCUGUUUUUACAUCUAGAUGGUGCACUUCCCAUCCAUUGGAAGCCGCAAGAGCAAGAAUGAAUCUUAUCGUCUCAAUACGAGCAACCGGAGCGAACACUUCAUCAAAAUCUAUGCCGUGUCUUUGUACGUAGCCUUUAGCCACUAACCUCGCCUUGUACUUGUUUAUACUUCCAUCGGAGUUCCUCUUUAUCUUGAAUACCCACUUUAACCCGAUUGGUUUGACUCCAUUUGGAAGUUUCUCCAAGCUCCAUGUUUUAUUCUUAGAAAUUGAUGAAAUCUCUUCGUCACAAGUUUCUCUCCACUCUCUUAACUCUGAGGCUUCACUAAAAUCCCAUGGUUCUUCGUUAACUUGAAGAAGCAAUCUCUCCCCUUCAAUCUCAGCUAAUAACACAUAAUCCGCAAGAUAACUUGGCCUUUUCUUUGGUCUUGUUGAUGGUUCUCGCAAAGAAGGCUGAGAUUGCACAUUCUCGGCUUCUUCUUCACUUUCAGCCUCAGACUCAUUGUUUUCAUCGUGAUUCUCUGCUUCCCCUGUUCCUCUGNNNNNNNNNNNNNNNNNNNNNNNNNNNNNNNNNNNNNNNNNNNNNNNNNNNNNNNNNNNNNNNNNNNNNNNNNNNNNNNNNNNNNNNNNNNNNNNNNNNNUGCGUUCUCACCUCCAUUUUAUUCCAAAAUCUCCGAAGUUAAUCUCAACAUACUCGGAUCACUACCAAUUUCACUACCUGUUUCACUACCUUGUUUACCCACUUCCAACUUCUGGUUUCAUCGAACACUACGUCCCUGCUUUACUACAACUUUGCGGGUUGAUGGAUCAAGUAGCCGGUACGCUUUUGAACCUGGUUCAGUUCCCAGGUGGACUAACAUUCGUGUUCUGUCAUCCAAUUUCUUCAGAUUUGCAGCUUCUGAUUUUGCGUAGCCGAUACAUCCAAAAAUUCGCAGGUGCUCCACGUUUGGCUUUUUUCCCUUAAAGACCUCAUAUGGUGUUUGAUUAACCAAAGUUCUUGUCGCAAUUCGAUUUAUAAGGUAAGUGGCAUGUCUCACAGCUUCUCCCCAUAGAUAGUUUGGUAUAGACAUGUGUUUUAAGAUACUUCUUGUCAUCUCCAUCAACGUUCUGUUACGUCUCUCUACUACUCCAUUUUGUUGCGGUGAAUAUGGUGCAGUCAAGUGCCUUUUUAUACUUGUGUCAUCACAAAACUUUUGAAACUCAUGAGAUGUGAAUUCUCCUCCCCUGUCAGUUCGAAAAGUUUUGAUAGAGUUCCCAGUUUCUUGUUCUACCAAGGCCUUGAAUCUCUUGAAUCUUUCAAAUGCAUCACUCUUCUCCUUUAAAAGUAAUGUCCACAUAUACCUGGAGUAGUCGUCGAUUAACACGAAUAUGUAUCUGUUUUGGGCAGUUGUGGUGGGUGUAAUUGGUCCACAAAGAUCACCGUGAACUAGCUCCAGUGUAUUAGUAGCACGAUAAGAGGUAGCUUGAGGAAACGUUCUCCUUGUUUGUUUUCCAAGCAGACACGAUGCACAUGUUUCCUUUUCAACAGAGAAGCUUGGCAUUCCGGUGACUAGCUCCUUCUUCACCAUUGAUUUCAUGGUUUCAAGGCCAACAUGGCCAAGUCUCGCAUGCCAUUUAGCUGAGUCAUUUAACGCCGUUAUCUGGAGACAUCGUGUGGCUUCUACUUCCAUGAGCACCUUGUAUAACCGAUUCUUUGAUCGACUUGCUUUUACCAAAAGCUUCCCGUCUUUAUCAUUCACCACUAGACUCUCUCCUUUCAUCUUGACUUCGCAGCCUGCUUCUGUGACCUGUCCUAGGCUGAUGAUAUUGCUUCGCAGAUCUGGUAUAAAGUAUACAUCCGCCAAUACCUUGCGUUCUCCAUCUCUGCUUACAAAUAGAAUCGAGCCUUUUCCUUUUAUAUCUAUUCUAGAAUCAUCACCAAAUCUCACUUUUCCCGUAAUUGUCUCAUCAAUCUUAGAAAAAUACUCUCGAUUCCCUGACAUAUGGUUACUUGCUCCAUUGUCUAAGUACCAUACGUUAAAUCCAUCAGAUUGGGCCUCAAAAACACUUGUCUUGAUGUUCUGCUCAUUGAGAUACACUACUUCGUUCACCAUUAGCUUUUCACCUUCUUGUGUAUCAUCACCUUCAUUCUCAUAAGCUUCUUGAAGUUUGAGCAGCCUAUCCGGACAAUUUGAUGCAAAAUGUCCAGUCUUAUCACAUCUGUAGCAGAUCACUUUUGUUUGAUCUCUUCCUCCUCCAUUUUGAUAGUUUCCGUAGCGGCCACGUCCCCUUCCUCCUUGAAAGAAACGUCCUCCUCUACCACGUCCUCUUCCUGAGUUAAAGCUUCCAUGAUAGGGUUGUGAAUCCGAGUUAACAAACAUGAGUUUCCCUUGAUCUUCUUGUUGAUUUUCUUCUUCAUCACAAGUUCUAUCUUCAUAUGUUUUCAUCCUUCCUACAAUAUCCUCAAAGCUAGUUUUAUUAAGAUCCAGGACUUGCUCCAAGGCUGCGAUGAUGUGAAUAAAUCUUUUUCUUGGUAAACUGUUAAGAAACUUCUUCACGAGUUUUGGAGUUUCGAUGUUUACUCCCAACGCUGCAGAUUUUGUGACUAUCUCCGAGAGUUUACCAGAGAAAGCAUCAAUUGUGUCAGUGUCUUUCAUCUUUAUCCUUUCGAAUUCAGCCAUCAAGGUUUGUAACCUUGCUUCCUUGACUCUCUCAGCCCCUACAUGUCUUGAUUUGAUAGAAUCCCAAACUUGCUUUGCAUCUCCUAAGUCGCCAACUUGCAGGAUAAGUACUUCUGGUAUGGAUUGGAAUAACAAAGCCCUAGCUAUGUCAUGUUUCUCUUCAUCAGUAGAUCCCGGAUCAAUGGUCUCCCACACUUUAUGCACCUUGAGUGUUGCUCGCAUACGCAUGACCCAAACUGUAUAGUUCGUGUCAUUGAGCAUGGGGCAUUUAAUUGAUGAGGAAGAACCACCAUCCUUCGGCUUCACGGGAACCACCUCUCCCAUGAUUCUGUUUCACUACGUAUGUCACCUCUCUUGGUGUAUGCGUAGGGUUUAAGUUUCAAAACUUUGACGAUGUUAUCAACACUAGAAAGCUUAAUUCAAAAGUUUAUGCUCUGAUACCAAUUAUUGAAUUAAGAACUAGGUUAAGAACACAAGAUUAAAAAGACUUCUCUCUUAUUCCUUUAGAAACUUACUCAAAACUAAAGGUCUUACAAAUCUCUUAAUCUCUCUUAUGGAAUACCACAACCUAGGCAUCUCAUAUAUAUAGCAAAACCCUUUUCCUUUUCCUAACACACUUAGGAAUUGGAUAAUUUCAUUUAUUCUAGAUAACUCCUAGAAUAUUACAUAUUUAUCUUUAGCUUAUUUCUCAAGCUUUCUUCAAACUUAUCU
rnacentral:lncRNA from 1 species